GACGAAGGUGGCGAGCGUUGUUCGGAAUCACUGGGCAUAAAGCGCACGUAGGCGGUGCCGUAAGUCAGACGUGAAAUCCCUCGGCUUAACCGGGGAACUGCGUCUGAUACUGGAUGGCUUGAGUUUGGGAGAGGGAUGCGGAAUUCCAGGUGUAGCGGUGAAAUGCGUAGAUAUCUGGAGGAACACCGGUGGCGAAGGCGGCAUCCUGGACCAACACUGACGCUGAGUGAGCGAAAGCCAGGGGAGCAAACGGG
rnacentral:rRNA from 1 species